CUCUUCUCCUUUUAUCUCCUCCUCCCGAUCCCCACAUCCCCGCCGAACUCCAUCUUCCCCAAACCCAUCGCCGACGUCGCCAUCCUUCCCUUCUCCCUCUUGCGAGCUCCCGUGCCCUAGCACUGAAGCCACAGUCGCCUCUCCCUUAUUCCCUCUCGUUCCGGUUGACCCCUUUCUUCCCCGAGCUCCCUUCCUCGCACGCGAGCACACAGCAGCCGGCGACCUCUCCUCCUCACAACAGCACCAGAGUCGCGUCCAGCCGCCGGAUCUCUCCCUCACGCGGGUAGCACAGCGACGAUCCUCCUCCAUCGACGGAGCUUGUCCAAUGAAUGUUCUCCCUCUCGAAUCACCGACCAAGGCCCCUUCUCCACUGAUCUCGCUUCUUUGACGGCACAACCACCACAGCCAACUGCUAGUGGCCAACAUAUGUUGCUGUGGAUCGUCAUCGGAGCAGUGGCGACACCAUUCUUUCCCUCCUAGCCGAGCCCUAGCCUCGAUUGGUGGAGGUCGAUGCUGAAUGGGCGUUGAUUGAGACGGUUGACUUGACGGGACGUGGUUUGGUUCAUACUAGAUAUCGAAGGCGGGUACUUCUUACUUUGUCUCUUUAGUUCUUUGAACUUAAUACGUGAGCUAUUUUUGGAUAGAAACUUCUUUUACCUUGACUCCACUCUUAUUUUUCCUGUACUUGAUACUUCCACGUGAUCUUUGAGAAAUUCGUUUCCAUAUCUAUGCAGUCUAUCGUUGUUGUUCAUAAUAUGUAGCAUAUACUAGAUACCAUGGUUGUAUACUUUGUUUGUUGUUUAUUUAAGUAUUAUAUUGAACAUGCUGGCUUCAUGUAUCAUACCUAAUUUUCUA